rfam:Danio rerio chromosome 4, GRCz11 reference primary assembly.
GGCUCAUUGGUCUAGGGGUGUGAUUCUCGCUUCUGGUGUGAGAGGACCCAGGUUCAAUUCUCAGAUGAGCCC